CGGCAUGCCUAAGACAUGCAAGUCGAACGAAGUAGCCUAAGGAAAAUGGAGUGCUUGCACAAAGUUGGAAUUAGAUUACUACUUAGUGGCAGACGGGUGAGUAACACGUGGGUAAUCUACCUCAGAGACUGGGAUAACGUUUGGAAACGAACGCUAAUACCGGAUGAUUUGUAAAUGGAUAACUAUUUAUACUAAAAGGGGCUUCGGCUUCACUUUGAGAUGAGCUUGCGGUGUAUUAGCUAGUUGGUGGGGUAAUGGCCUACCAAGGCAACGAUGCAUAUCCGAGCUGAGAGGCUGAUCGGACACAUUGGGACUGAGACACGGCCCAGACUCCUACGGGAGACAGCAGUUAGGAAUAUUCGUCAAUGGGGGAAACCCUGAACGAGCAAUGCCGCGUGAGUGAUGAAGGCCUUAUAGGUUGUAAAACUCUGUUGUAAAGGAAGAACGUCUAUUAUAGGAAAUGAUAAUAGAGUGACGGUACUUUACCAGAAAGCCCCGGCUAACUACGUGCC
rnacentral:rRNA from 1 species